rnacentral:tRNA from 26 species
GGCUGGAUACCUCAGUUGGUUAGAGGGCUCGGUUCAUACCCGAGUUGUCGUGAGUUCGAGUCUCACUCCAGCCACCA